rnacentral:rRNA from 1 species
GACGAACGCUGGCGGCGUGCCUAAUACAUGCAAGUAGAACGCUGAAGGAGGAGCUUGCUUCUCUGGAUGAGUUGCGAACGGGUGAGUAACGCGUAGGUAACCUGCCUGGUAGCGGGGGAUAACUAUUGGAAACGAUAGCUAAUACCGCAUAAUAGCAGUUGUUGCAUGACAACUGUUUGAAAGGUGCAAUUGCACCACUACCAGAUGGACCUGCGUUGUAUUAGCUAGUUGGUGGGGUAACGGCUCACCAAGGCGACGAUACAUAGCCGACCUGAGAGGUGAUCGGCCACACUGGGACUGAGACACGGCCCAGACUCCUACGGGAGGCAGCAGUAGGGAAUCUUCGGCAAUGGACGGAAGUCUGACCGAGCAACGCCGCGUGAGUGAAGAAGGUUUUCGGAUCGUAAAGCUCUGUUGUAAGAGAAGAACGAGUGUGAGAGUGGAAAGUUCACACUGUGACGGUAUCUUACCAGAAAGGGACGGCUAACUACGUG